CUGUAACUAUUUUGUGACUACCAGUCUGUACUAAAUCCUUCACCUUUUUCACUCAGUCCCUCUACCCCCUGACCUGUGCCUCGCCACAGGUUUUGUGCUGUGAACACAUUUGGGAAAUUUCCCUGACCCCAUUUUUACUCUCUUGAAAUACAGUCCCUUUUUUUAAGUUCCAUAGCCUCUUGUAAUAUUUCUAACUGCCAUUUGUUGAGUUCAUAUGAUGAGUAUGGCACUGUACUAAGUGCUUCUUCAUAUUUGUUACUUAAUCCUUAAUAUAACCUACCAGCAUAGUAUUACUAUUGCUUUUUACAAAUAAAGUGCAAAGUUAAUUGCCUGAGAAUACACAGCCAGUAAGUAAUAAGUACCUGAAUUAGGGUUUCUACCUAGAUCUUUGAUUUUGCUGCACAUACUCCUCAAAGUCUCUGAAUUCCCACAACCUUUAUAUCAAACACUUAUCAAUUGUAUUAUAAUUACCUAUUUAACAGUUGAUCCUUACCCCUACCCCUCAAGGACUCUGAGCUUCUGGAAGGUAGAGACUUUCAUUAUUCAUCUUGGAGUUCUUGACAUCUAGAAUACUUGGUUCAAGGGGGGAAGGGCCUACUAGCUUGUGUGGAUGAAGAAACUGCUCAGAUUUGGCCAAGAUCACAUAACUAGGUGGGGAGUUGGAGCCCACUAUGUCUGACUCCAAAUUAAUAUAGUGGUUGUAGCCACUUGUAUAAUAAUGGUAAAGGCUUCAUUUUUGCUUUGUUGUAUGGGUAAACUCAUGAGGGCAGGAGGCAGCACAUCCUUAGACAUGACAGGAAGGAUUAGAAAAAGAAACAGAAGAAAAGUAGAAAAAGUAAAAUGCCCUCACAUUAAUUUUAAAGGAUUUAAAAAUAAAGCAGAAACAAAUGGACUAGGAAAUAAAUUGAUCCCAAUAAUAGCUGGUAUUUG